rnacentral:rRNA from 1 species
AUUGAACGCUGGCGGAAUGCUUUACACAUGCAAGUCGAACGGCAGCACGGGUGCUUGCACCUGGUGGCGAGUGGCGAACGGGUGAGUAAUACAUCGGAACGUACCCAGUUGUGGGGGAUAACUAACCGAAAGGUUAGCUAAUACCGCAUACGACCUGAGGGUGAAAGCGGGGGACCGUAAGGCCUCGCGCAAUUGGAGCGGCCGAUGUCUGAUUAGCUAGUUGGUGAGGUAAAGGCUCACCAAGGCGACGAUCAGUAGCUGGUCUGAGAGGAUGAUCAGCCACACUGGAACUGAGACACGGUCCAGACUCCUACGGGAGGCAGCAGUGGGGAAUUUUGGACAAUGGGGGAAACCCUGAUCCAGCCAUUCCGCGUGAGUGAAGAAGGCCUUCGGGUUGUAGAGCUCUUUCGGCAGGGAAGAAACGCUCUGGCUUAAUACGCCGGGGUAAUGACGGUACCUGAAGAAGAAGCACCGGCUAACUACGUGCCAGCCGCCGCCGUAAAAC